UCUGGUGGCCUAGUGGUUAGAGCGUGUCCGUCUCAGAUGCGGGAGGUCGUGGGUUCGAAUCCCGGUCUAGUCAU